UGAAUUACAACUCUGACAUUCACAACUGUUGCGAUGCGUGUAUAGUGUAGUGUAACACGGUUGCUUGGUGCUGGCGCCGGCGGUGUCGGCGUGUCCAUCGGAGGCUUGAAGUCUGGAGGCCCUAGUCCUGGGCCUGGCAGCCUGUAGGAUGGCAUUCCAGCCAGAUUGUGACUCAUUCUGAUAUUAUUCAGUUUCAGCUCUAACAACCAUCAUCAUGAAUCAAUGACAUGAACAUUUUAGAAAAUGUAUUCGCACAUAAGGCACCGCAUUGUCACGAGAAAGCGCAAUAACGUGCCGGAAGACUGGUUGUGUCUAUUUCUGUAACAAAAAAAUAUUACAGUUGAAACAAUUUCUCUGCAAGUAUGAUACUCUACAGAAGUGAUAUUGCACAACGUUAUGGUGUUUCAUUUCAUUGAUCGCCAAAAUUCUGUUGACGAUGAUGGUUACGAAUUUACGAUUCCCCAAGAUUGACACUAACUUAGGUAACCUGCCAAUAAUAAAUGCAGAAAAACACAGUUUCGAUUGUUAAUCUUGAACUUUCUACCUAUUCUUUGUGAGAUAUAUCAUAAAUAAUAAUAUAAAACUUACAGCAUUAUCAAAUAAGCAUCGGAAUUACUGAUUAUUUUUUUUUGUCUUCAUUGAAAUCCCAAGGCAGGCGUGCAACAUAUGACAAAAUACCAAAAGUAAAUCACUUUAUAGCGCCAGAUUUUGUUAUUCACAGAAAGCCGCCUGAUUGUUUAAUGUUGUAACACACACGAAGUUCACUUAUAACAAGAUUUAGUUAUGCAUCAAAA